rnacentral:lncRNA from 1 species
AACAAUAUGGAACUUUUAAUUUUGAAAUCAAUAUUAAAACAUUUAAUUGAUAUAAAAACAAAUUACUUAAACAUUCAUGAUAUUGUUUCUGUAACUGUUGAUUAUUUCUUGGCAAUGAUUAGUACUACCUAUUUUUUCUUCUUGCUAAAUAAGAGAGACUUGGUAUUGCAGAUAUCAACAGAGGAUUGCAAUACAUAUGAAAGAUUUAUUAAUCUUAAUACAACAUGAAGAAUGAAGAUCAUCCUUCCAAUAAUUUUUGUACAUUUAAAAUAAUUAAUUUCAAAACUUUACUUUGUAUAUAUUAUUAUUGGAAGGAGGCCUUACUUAACAGGUAGGUUUUUCUAUAUCCUUUUCCUGCUUAUGCUUUGCCUUAUUCUGUCCCUUGCCCACAGAUUUUUUGGACAUAAUUGGUGGUGGGGCAUCACCCCCUACCACACCCAACGCCCCAUCAGCACAAGGGGACUGGAAACCACACUUCAGCAAGUACCUGGCUCUACCUGGUAAUCAACCUGCAGAUAGGCAGGUUUGCUAGGGAGUCCUUCCUGCUUGUCAUUUUGUCAUAUCCCUUUGGUUAGGGUGCAUGUGAUUGAUUGAUUGUAUUCAGUUAACAAAGCAUGCUGAGGUCAAGUAUAUUAAUAUUUAUUAUUAAGAAUGUAAUCGUCAAUGACUUCCACUUUAUCAGUAAAAAAAAUAGAAGUUUAUUUAAUAUUCUUUUGAAAUCAG